rnacentral:rRNA from 1 species
UACGUAGGGUGCAAGCGUUAAUCGGAAUUACUGGGCGUAAAGCGUGCGCAGGCGGUUUUGUAAGUCAGUUGUGGAAUCCCCGGGCUCAACCUGGGAACUGCAUCUGUGACUGCAACGCUGGAGUGCGGCAGAGGGGGAUGGAAUUCCGCGUGUAGCAGUGAAAUGCGUAGAUAUGCGGAGGAACACCGAUGGCGAAGGCAAGCCCCUGGGCCUGCAUUGACGCUGAGGCGCGAAAGCGUGGGGAGCAAACAGG